UAAUUGGUGAUCAGUUACUGCACUUCUGAAAAAUAGCUGGGAAUCCCUCAUCCAUGGGUAUUCUGAAUGACUGUUUAAGGCUUUCUGUCAAAGAGAUAUGAUAAUCACUGUUCUGUAUGGAGUAUCAUAUCCACAGAUUCUCUCAUGCCCAGUUGUCUUUUGGCAGGUUGUUUCUAGCUGUAUUACUCUGAAAAUGUCCACACAAAAUGUGAACAAAAUUCCCUUCUCAUGAGUUUUUCUGACUACUUCCAGAAAGCUGGUAAGAUCAUCGGAUUCCUGAGAUGUAAGAAUGGGACAAAUCCUUCCUUCCCUAUCUGUAUGUCUUUGAAAAUACCUCAAUAUCAAGCACCAGAAUGUAAUCUGAGCUUUAUUUUAUGCCAGGCCACCAGCAAACCUCUUCCCUGUCACUGUGCAGUGAAGUGUUGGAAAAUUUCCUGAUGGUCUUUUAAAAGAAAGACAUCAGACAAGGAACCUCAUCCUCUCAGACAGGUGGAGAGACUUGCAAGGACUGGGGAAGCAAAAGCAGAUUGUGGCCUCCUACAAGACCAGUGCUCAGCCAAACCAAAGCUGUCAGCAUGCAAGAGCAUCCAGUGAUGGCAUGUAAACCCAAGCAUUGUUGUUAAGCAGAACAAGAACACCUCAUGAAACCAUAAAGCAUCCAUGAGGGUUGUUCAUCAGGUUCUGCUUGGUGAAUCAUCAAGUUUACUGUGGAAAGAGGAACUACCAUGAAAACCCCUGUGCUAGAGGUUUCAGAUGGAAGACAUCUCUUUUUUUGGAUGAAGACAACACCUUGAAAUCGGAUAUAAAACGGGGGAUGUCUUCUGGGACUAUCACUUGUUUGUGCAUGCACUAUCCUACGCACUGGCUGAUGAGUGAGUCAUUCAGCCUGCCACCUUAUCUGCACAAUACCGUGCAAUCUGGAGAAUGUGGACACAUCUGAAAGUGAUUUUUCUACUCCUGGUUGCCCAG